UGACAUUCUGGGAAAUAGUUUCUAAAAUCUGUUUUGCAUUUUUCGGGGUUUUCUCAGUAUACUUCAACUCCAUUAUCACUGGAAAAACUCGAUAAAGGUAGCAUCCAGCUUCAAAGAAACUCUCCUGCUCUACUUCUAUGCACUCUACUGAUUCUGUGACUACUGUAAUAUCAGCCAACAAGGAUUCAAAAAGACCAGCAAAGGCAGUGUUGUCUAUCUGAAAAAGGAAAAAAAGAUCAAAAGAAUUGAGAUGUUGGAUCAGUAAUGAUUUCUUCAAGCUAUAAGCCAAGAUAUAAGUAUUUUCUUUUUCUUGUAAUUCAGAAAAUAAGGCCAAUAUGCAUAGUCCAGGAUACAAUCAAAGCAUUGCUCAUGACUUGAAGAUGAAUUUGCUUGUUUGACAAAAAUAGAAACAGAUGGUGAUCACUUUGGUGAUUUCAUUUGUCUCAUAUGAACAAAUCUCAGCUAUAUAAUCAUAUCUAUUUAUCUAAAAGCAUGGGAUGCUUGAAGGUUCACCAGGAUUAAUUCAUAGGAAUCAUUCUCAUAAGUUGGCAAUUUUCUAGUCUAUGAUUGUACUUCACCAAUCUAAACAUAUCUUAUCUGGAUUCAAGUAUCGGAUACAGAUGAUAUUGAAACAUGGAAAUGCUAAUAAGCAAGUUUUAAUGGAGGAAUAAUUGAUCCUGAGCCUCUAGAUUGCUACUUAACAAAGAAUUAAAAGGCAGUUACAGAGAGAGAAAGAUUUUGAAAAAGCUCGUACCGACAUCGUCAAACCGCAGCCGUCCGUGUAUUUGGCGUAGUUGCAGAACCUGAAGACUUGAGAGUUUCUGGGAGUUACAAAGAUGUUUUAAGAAAAAAGGUAGCUCAUUGAAUAAGUCUCUUUUCAUGUCAUCAUCCAUAAGGUGAAAAUCUUUAAUUUCUUGAUAUCAAAAGUCAAAGCUCUGCAUUUACUUUUAUUUUGAGAUACAGAUUGCGUAUGUUUUUAUAUGGUACUUUGAUGCAUAUGCAUAUACAUAUACAUAUUUGGAUAUGGAGAAACAAUCAAGACUUUUAAGGUUUAGGACUUGAAAUUGGUGUUGACGAAUUGUUUAAUAUAUUUUCUAAAGUUUCAUUCAGGGAGGGCCUUAGCCCCCUCAGAUAAAA